rnacentral:lncRNA from 1 species
AAAGAAAUGUGAAAGGAUUUGCCACGGGACUUAAGAAAUGACAAAGCCACCUCCCCUUGUGUCCCCACACAGAAAUGCUGCAGAGUGUUUAAAACUUGAGACAUUUUGUAGGACGCCUGACAAAGCGUAGCCUUUUUCUUGUGUCAGGAUGCGUAUUUAUUACAAGUAUUCUGGUUAAAUAUUGAAAAGUUAUAUGCUGUAGUUUAGCAUUUUUUUUGUCUUUGUAAUUUACAGAAAUUAUUGCAGAAAAUAAAUGUGGUUCAUUUUGC